GAGAAGACUUGACGUAGAAAAUAAAUUCAGUUUUAGGUAGGCAGAAUUUUUUUUUUUAAGAUAAAGAACUGCCUUUGAAGAUAUGCACACCCACAAUCUAGUCAAGCUGCCUUUUCUCAGGUUUCUACAUACCACUUCCAAAGUGAAAAUUUAUGAAAAAUAGCAAGUUUUAUGUUCAUUUGUAAUCUGUUAAAAAAUCAUUAAAGUAUGUAAAUUUCUCUUCUUCACAGAAAAAAAAAAAAGAGAGAAUCAGCCUUUCGGUCAACAGAGCUAUGCUUGAGAAGGUUCCCAACCAUUGCUCCUGUUGGUUUUGCUGAUGAAAUGAAAGUUUGACGUCCCAAGAUGACAAUGUUUAACAACGGGAUUGCCUAAUUCCUGAAAUUUUAACAAUCAACUCUCAUAAGCUGAUGCGAAUGGCUCCAACAUACCACUUACUUUAUGUCUGUAUUUUUUAUCUUACCACUUAAAUUCUAAGCAUGUAGAGGCAGGGGUCAUGGCUUAAAUAUAUUUGUAUUGUCCAUAGUGCUUAACACAUAGUGACUUACUAAAUAUUUGUUGGAUAACGGAUAUAUUUCUGUACUGAAAGCUAUAUAUGGCCUGUGUAAGUUUAUGGUUGCUACAUUAGUUGCUAUAAUUAUCCUGGUAAAUGUGCUGCAAAUAUUUGCCCUGGUAAAAUCGAGGCUAUAGAUGCGUGUAUCUUGGAAAUAAACAUGUUUUCUCUGGA